GCCGCUAUGUGAAAUCGGU
rnacentral:tRNA from 1 species